AGAGAUGUGUGAUGUGCAAUGCUUUUCUAUACAAGGACAAAAAGAAAUCUCCUUGGAAAUUUGUAUGGUACUUACCGAUCACUCCCCCAUGUGUAGCUCUAUUUCGUAGAUCCUAAGGAAGCAAAGCUCAUCUGGUGGCACGCGGAGUGAGUGAAGCCCAACGAUGCAGAUGAUCCUAAGCUAAGAUACCUUUGAAAGCACAAUUACUCCCUAAGGUGGUUCUCGUAAUUAAUAACAACAUAUGUAUCAUUAAAAUGGUCUUACCC
rnacentral:lncRNA from 1 species